UGACAGUCCUCAGGCAGCCGUCUAGUGAACGCUGACUGUAUGUUUUAGCUGUGUAUUUGAAAUGUUUGUUUAGGCAAAAUUUCGACGACGUUCUGCUUUGGUUCUCUUUAGCCUGGAAUUGGGGUCCUCUAAUGAUGGUAGUGGUGGUACUCGGAUUGUCCUAAAUUUAAGGGUUUAGAUGAUGAUGAUGGAUUCCAUGAUCUCUCUUGAGGACAGCUAACUAAAUUCACGUACCUCUACAUAGGCUGAAGAGAGAGAACCGCGAGAAAAAUCAGCCUGGCCAAAGGAACCGAGGUGGUGAUUACAAGUGGAUCGCCAACCAAAGGAACUGCGGCGGUGGUGGUGACUACAAGAGGAUCCCCGGCCCGAGGAACUGAGGUGGUGAUUACAAGAGGAUCGCCGAUAAAAGAACUGUGGUGGUGAAGAUCCCCGAAACAAGAAAGAAGAUCGGCGUAUAAAAUGUAAUCGCAAGUCGGUAAUCCAGGGCUGUUUAAAAAAAAAUUUCUGGACGCCUCACUUUUUAUUUUUAAUUAUUUAUUUUAUUUUAUUUUUUUUUUUGUU